CCAGCUUGUAGAUUUUCUGUACUUGGCAUUAAAAUUUCCUGGUCUGACUUGCGGCCGAAAUCCUGGGAUGGGGACAGAAGAAACAUACAUUCUGUGCCAGCUGUAUACAUCCUGAACCUUCCAGAAGGAGCCCUGGUGAAGGGUCAGGAACUGCCUGCUCUGUGCCCGGCCCUGGGCUCGGCACUACAAGAGACACUCAGGAACUAGGAGACUGGUCCCUGCCUUCAGGGCUCCCAGACUGCGCAUCAGAUCCGCGCGGUAUCAUCAAGCAGGGCUCGUACGGCAACCUCAGAAAUAUCGGGACUUUCAGAAGGAAGAGAUGAGUGAGGACUGAAGUUGUCAAGGAAGUCGUCGCUGAGGAGAAGCUCCUCCGCUGAGGGAGAGGGUGAAAGCGAGUGAUCAUGGCUGAAAGGGAGGACGAGCUGUGUGAGCCGCACUGGGCGCCCCAGACCCUCAGUCACCACGAAGCCUGAGCCAGAGCAUCUUGUCCUCCAGAAGGCCCCUCAUCCCCCGCCCCCAAGACCAGGGCAACUCUCCUGUUUUGUGCUCUAGCACCCAGCCAGCUCCCCGUCUAUCACUGUGCCGACAACAGAAUUCUGCUCAGGAGAGGACCACAGUCUUGCAACGUAGAAAGCCACCGCACCUCCAGACACCCAGGACUAAGUGCCAGUAGGAGCUGGGCGACUAGUAAAGACAGCAGUGACCGUCCUCUGUGUUGAAUGGCCGUCCAUCACCUGAGAGCUUAAGACAUCUUUCUGCGGUACCCAUUCUGCUCUCAGCACUGAGGGGGACACGGAGAUGAGUGAAGCCCAGGCCCCCGUCUUCUACAAGCUCCCAGCACAGCUGGGAGGUGAGACUCACAGUGCUCUGAUGAGCAAUUCAGCACAGGGACAUUUACAGACUGCAUCCUGUGGUGUGACUGAGUGUCCUGGGAGGUCAGGGGAGAGAGGGAUGACUCAUCACCAAAGGCUGAUGGCAUUCUAGGUGACAGAAAGAGGUACAACACAAUUCUAAUAGUGCGUGCAGAGAAACAACCAAUGCACAGAGCAGAGGGAAGGAAGGGAAGGAAGCAGGGAGGGAGGGAAAGGAAAGAAAAGAGAAAAGAAAAGA